UUUGCCCCAUAGCCCGCUCACGGACGCCCGGCCUCACCAGGCCGGAGGAGGAGAAAUUGCGUUCCGGGUAACUUCCCACCCCAUUGAGCCGGAGAACAGUUUCCUAAGUUUUGGGAAGAGUGAAAACCUGUCACCACGAAAAGAAAGGAAAUCUCCUCCAAUUGAAAACAAACAAACAAACAAACAAACCCCAAAAGCUGUUACCGGGGGCUGGGAGGACAGGUAAAGCCAGAUGCAAAGUUAACAGGAAACACUGUUUUCCAAGAUCAUGCAGCAGCCGUAAAAUGUCGCAAUGGUCCCCUCUUUGAGCAAUUGCUGCCUUUUUACGAGUGCGCAGACCCGCUUUGCCACACCCAUCCAUGUACUACUGGGGAUACCGAAGAUCACUCUCUCCUUGU
rnacentral:lncRNA from 1 species